ACUUUAUACUGUGAAACUGCGAAUGGCUCAUUAAAUCAGUUAUCGUUUAUUUGAUAGUACCUUACUACAUGGAUACCUGUGGUAAUUCUAGAGCUAAUACAUGCUAAAAACCUCGACUUCGGAAGGGGUGUAUUUAUUAGAUAAAAAACCAACGCCCUUCGGGGCUCCUUGGUGAAUCAUAAUAACUAAGCGAAUCGCAUGGCCUUGCGCCGGCGAUGGUUCAUUCAAAUUUCUGCCCUAUCAACUUUCGAUGGUAGGAUAGUGGCCUACCAUGGUGGCAACGGGUAACGGGGAAUUAGGGUUCGAUUCCGGAGAGGGAGCCUGAGAAACGGCUACCACAUCCAAGGAAGGCAGCAGGCGCGCAAAUUACCCAAUCCCGACACGGGGAGGUAGUGACAAUAAAUACUGAUACGGGGCUCUUUUGGGUCUCGUAAUUGGAAUGAGUACAAUCUAAAUCCCUUAACGAGGAACAAUUGGAGGGCAAGUCUGGUGCCAGCAGCCGCGGUAAUUCCAGCUCCAAUAGCGUAUAUUAAAGUUGUUGCAGUUAAAAAGCUCGUAGUUGAACCUUGGGUCUGGCUGGCCGGUCCGCCUCACCGCGAGUACUGGUCCGGCUGGACCUUUCCUUCUGGGGAACCUCAUGGCCUUCACUGGCUGUGGGGGGAACCAGGACUUUUACUGUGAAAAAAUUAGAGUGUUCAAAGCAGGCCUUUGCUCGAAUACAUUAGCAUGGAAUAAUAGAAUAGGACGUGCGGUUCUAUUUUGUUGGUUUCUAGGACCGCCGUAAUGAUUAAUAGGGAUAGUCGGGGGCGUCAGUAUUCAGCUGUCAGAGGUGAAAUUCUUGGAUUUGCUGAAGACUAACUACUGCGAAAGCAUUCGCCAAGGAUGUUUUCAUUAAUCAGGGAACGAAAGUUAGGGGAUCGAAGACGAUCAGAUACCGUCGUAGUCUUAACCAUAAACUAUGCCGACUAGGGAUCGGGCGGUGUUUCUAUAAUGACCCGCUCGGCACCUUACGAGAAAUCAAAGUUUUUGGGU
rnacentral:rRNA from 1 species